CGAGGGUGCAAGCGUUAAUCGGAAUUACUGGGCGUAAAGCGAGUGUAGGCGGCUUCGUAAGUCGGAUGUGAAAGCCCUGGGCUUAACCUGGGAAUGGCAUUCGAUACUGCGCGGCUAGAGUCUGAUAGAGGGAAGUGGAAUUCCAGGUGUAGCGGUGAAAUGCGUAGAGAUCUGGAGGAACACCAGUGGCGAAGGCGGCUUCCUGGAUCAAGACUGACGCUGAGGCUCGAAAGCGUGGGGAGCAAACAGGAUUAGAGACCCGAGUAGUCC
rnacentral:rRNA from 1 species